rnacentral:rRNA from 1 species
AGAACGAACGCUGGCGGCAGGCUUAACACAUGCAAGUCGAGCGCCCAGCAAUGGGAGCGGCGGACGGGUGAGUAACACGUGGGAACAUGCCUUUCGGUACGGAACAACUUCGGGAAACUGAAGCUAAUGCCGUAUACGCCCUUACGGGGAAAGAUUUAUCGCCGAAAGAUUGGCCCGCGUCUGAUUAGCUAGUUGGUGAGGUAACGGCUCACCAAGGCUUCGAUCAGUAGCUGGUUUGAGAGAACGACCAGCCACACUGGGACUGAGACACGGCCCAGACUCCUACGGGAGGCAGCAGUGGGGAAUCUUGGACAAUGGAGGAAACUCUGAUCCAGCCAUGCCGCGUGAGUGAUGAAGGCCUUCGGGUUGUAAAACUCUUUUACCCGGGAAGAUAAUGACUGUACCGGGAGAAUAAGCUCCGGCUAACUUCGCGCCAGCAGCCGC